UUUUGUAGAAGAAAAGAAAGGAACGGAUGGAGAAGAAGAAAAGAAAGGAAUAAAAAAAAUUAAAAGAAGAAGAAAAAGGAGAAUCCAAAGCGUGAGGGAGCGGGAGAAGGGACUGCCCUUUGGGCAGUUCGCAGAGAGAAAGGAAAGAGCUGCCUUUGCAGCACAAGGAAAGAAGGCAGACAGCUGCCCUUACAGCGUGAGCG
rnacentral:lncRNA from 1 species